GACGAACGCUGGCGGCAUGCUUAACACAUGCAAGUCGAACGGUGAAGGGGCUGGUAUUGCUGCUCGUGGACGAGUGGCGAACGAGUGUGUAACACGUGAGUAACUUGCUCCCCUCUACUGGAUAACCGCAUGAAAGUGUGGCUAGUACGGGAUAUUCUUGGUCUGUCGCUUGGUGGGCCUGGGAAAGGUUGGGCCUUUUUUGGAGUUUUUGGUAGGGGAUGGGUGCGCGGCCUGUCAGCGUGUUGGUGGGGGGAUGGCCUACCAAGGCGGUGACGGGUAGCCGGCCAGAGAGGGUGGACGGUCCCACUGGGACAGGGACACGGCCCAGACUCCUACGGGGAGCAGCAGUGGGGAAUAAUGCACGAUGGGCGCAAGCCUGAUGCAGCGACGCCGCGUGGGCGAAGGAGGCCUUGCGGUGGGGAACCUCUUUCGCCAGGGAAGCAGGCCUGCUUCUUUUUGUGAGUAGGUUGACGGUACCUGGAUAAGAAGCGCCGGCUAACUACGUG
rnacentral:rRNA from 1 species